rnacentral:rRNA from 1 species
GAUGAACGCUAGCUACAGGCUUAACACAUGCAAGUCGAGGGGCAGCACAGUGUAGCAAUACAUGGGUGGCGACCGGCGCACGGGUGCGUAACGCGUAUCCAACCUUCCCGAUACUCAGGGAUAGCCUUCCGAAAGGGAGAUUAAUACCUGAUGGUGUUUCAAUUCCGCAUGUUAAUGAAACUAAAGAUUUAUCGGUAUCGGAUGGGGAUGCGUGACAUUAGAUAGUAGGCGGGGUAACGGCCCACCUAGCCAACGAUGGAUAGGGGUUCUGAGAGGAAGGUCCCCCACAUUGGAACUGAGACACGGUCCAAAACUCCUACGGGAGGCAGCAGUGAGGAAUAUUGGUCAAUGGGCGAGAGCCUUGAACCAGCCAAGUAGCGUGAAGGAUGAAGGUUCUAUGGAUUGUAAAACUUCUUUUAUAAGGGAAUAACAGAAUGCUACGUGUAGCGUUUUUGCAUGUACCUUAUGAAUAAGCAUCGGCUAAACUCCGUGCCAGCA